CCUACGGGUGGCAGCAGUGGGGAAUAUUGGACAAUGGGCGAAAGCCUGAUCCAGCCAUGCCGCGUGUGUGAACAAGGCCUUCGGGUUGUAAAGCACUUUCAGUGGGGAAGAAAGCCUUGGGGCUAAUACCCUCGAGGAAGGACAUCACCCACAGAAGAAGCACCGGCUAACUCCGUGCCAGCAGCCGCGGUAAUACGGAGGGUGCGAGCGUUAAUCGGAAUUACUGGGCGUAAAGCGCGCGUAGGCGGUCUGAUAAGCCGGUUGUGAAAGCCCCGGGCUCAACCUGGGAACGGCAUCCGGAACUGUCAGGCUAGAGUGCAGGAGAGGAAGGUAGAAUUCCCGGUGUAGCGGUGAAAUGCGUAGAGAUCGGGAGGAAUACCAGUGGCGAAGGCGGCCUUCUGGACUGACACUGACGCUGAGGUGCGAAAGCGUGGGUAGCAAACAGGAUUAGAUACCCCAGUAGUC
rnacentral:rRNA from 1 species